GGCCCGUUGGUCAAGCGGUUAAGACACCGCCCUUUCACGGCGGAAACACGGGUUCGAAUCCCGUACGGGUCA
rnacentral:tRNA from 1 species